AUUUAGCAUCAUUUAGCAUCAUUCAGCAUCAUUUAGCAUCUUUCAGUAUCAUUCAACAUCAUUCAGUAUCAUUCAGUAACAUUCAGCAUCAUUCAGUAUCAUUCAACAUCAUUCAACAUCAUUCACUAUCAUUCAACAUCAUUCAACAUCAUUCAGCAUCAUUUAGCAUCAUUCAGCAUCAUUUAGCAUCAUUCAGCAUCAUUUAGUAUCAUUCAACAUCAUUCAGCAUUAUUCAACAUCAUUCACCAUCAUUUAGCAUCAUUCAGCAGCAUUUAGCAUCAUUUAGCAUCAUUCAGCAUCAUUUAGCAUCAUUCAGUAUCAUUCAACACCAUUCAGCAUCAUUCAGCAUCAUUCAGCAUCAUUCAGCAUCAUUUAGCAUCAUUCAACAUCAUUCAGCAUCAUUCAGUAUCAUUCAGCAUCAUUUAGCAUCAUUGAGCAUCAUUUAGCAUCAUUCAGCAUCAUUUAGCAUCAUUCAACAUCAUUCAGCAUCAUUCAGUAUCAUUCAGCAUCAUUUAGCAUCAUUCAGCAUCAUUCAACAUCAUUCAGCAUCAUUCAGUAUCAUUCAGCAUCAUUCAGCAUCAUUCAGCAUCAUUUAGCAUCAUUCAGCAUCAUUCAGCAUCAUUUAGCAUCAUUCAGCAUCAUUUAGCAUCAUUCAGUAUCAUUCAACAUCAUUCAGCAUCAUUUAGCAACAUUCAGUAUCAUUCAGCAUCAUUCCGUAUCAUUCAACAUCAUUCAACAUCAUUCAAUAUCAUUCAACAUCAUUCAACAUCAUUCAACAUCAUUUAGCAUCAUUCAGCAUCAUUCAGUAUCAUUCAGCAUCAUUUAGCAUCAUUCAGCAUCAUUUAGCAUCAUUCAGCAUCAUUUACCAUCAUUCAGUAUCAUUCAACAUCAUUCCACAUCAUUCAGCAUCAUUUAGCAUCAUUCAGCAUCAUUUAGCAUCAUUUAGCAUCAUUCAGUAUCAUUUAGCAUCAUUCAGUAUCAUUUAGCAU